AGAAUGCAGGAACUGAAGCCCGAAAGGCGAACAUGCUGAGUCUCAGCCUAGAGUGGAGAGCCCAGGGCGGGAAAGUUCCCGAGGGUCACAGCCCUCCGCGAGGUCUGCUCGGCGGAGCCCCGGCUGGAGCACCGGGGAUCAAGGAGGCCCGAAGCAGCGCAGGACAUCGCGUGGCCCCGGGAAGCCGCGGCCGCGCCGGGAGCCUCUCCGGGUUGCCGGCUGCCGAGUCAGCCGCUUCCUGCCGCGGGGUCCGGAGAGAGCCGCGCUCCGCGCCACCAGCCAGCCCGUCCGACCGACCGCCCGCCCGCCCGCCCGCCCAGGAUGCGCUCGCCUGCCAGGGAAGCGCUCACACCUCGCACAAAAGGCGCCGCGGCGGGACGGCGGGGAGUAGGCGACCGCUGCCUCCCGGAACUUUGCGGACAUCGCACCGCAGCUCCACAGCUCCGAGCCCCCGGCGCAGGAGGAGGCCGAGGCGGCGGCGGAGAGUCGGGGCAUCGCCCGGCAGUGCCUCCGCCUUGCCGGCUGCCGGCGGCUCCCGCCCCCGGUUAACCAGCGCUCGCUCUUAAAGGCGCCCGCUGCUGGUUAGGCCGCGAGGUAAGGAAGAGAGGAGUGGGGUGGAGGCAAGGAAAGGGGGAGGGGGCAGCUCAGACAGGCUCCCGGGAGUCUUCUGCAGUCUAAACUCAGACUCCUCUCGCUCCAGGUCCCCAGGUCACCCCACCCCCUAAAACGGGAGUUAAGUGCUCAGACCCUACACCAAAGAUGUGUAGCCACUGCUGGCUAGCUCAGGAAACCUCACAUUUGCUUGAACUGCCCACACCUCUGUUAAGAUCUUUAUCUUAACACCCCCCAUCCCUGCCUGGGCCACACUUACCAUAGAGCUAAAAUCGGCGCCCAAUGGGACCAUGCUUCCCUCCGCUGAUUGGGCAGCCUCCCGGGUGUUUCUUCAUUUCCAACACUGUGAGGAGGGGCUCAUCUGGAGCACUUCACAUUGAAGACCAGCUUGGACCCUUACCUGGACCGCUGAAGGAGUCGUGAACUAUAGUGGCAGACAUGCCUUGCUUUGACCCAUGCUCACCUGCCCGGUGGCUUCCACCUGGAUUGCUAGAACCACUGGCAUUCAUGAUCACCAAACUGGACUCAGGAAGAACCUGAAGGAAAGAUACCACCAUCAAAUCUCAGUUAUGGUGCUUUUGAAAUGUUGCUUCCAAGUGAUAAAUGACACUUACUGUUUUCCUAACCAUCGUCCACAUUUAUGGCAGAGUGGAGGGCCCAGGAGGCUCGGAGCACUAGCAGUUUUCCUGACUCCACAGCAGACCAGCAUCCAAAGCUGCUGUUGUAUCUGUUGGUUUCAAUCCUUGCUUCGCAGUCCUGUGGGACCACUCUAACGGAAAUGGAAAGGAAGAUGUUAGGCAAUUAGGGGGUAUGAUCCAGCCUGGGCUUCAAACAUCAGUCCCAGCAAAGGACUCUGAAGGUAUGAGUGACAUUUUCUAAUUCAAAGGAGCUUGCACCUUUUAGCCCUGGCUUCAACCAACUUGGUUCUUACCCUUAGGCCACUGUGGAGUACACGGCUGCUUGCAAGAGGUAGAAGCAAUUUGUGUUACCAGAUGGAGAGAAACUAAGCUCCAGGCUUUGGAGAAAAGAAAGCGGGAGGGAGGGCAAGGAAGGGGAGGAGAAGGGAGGAGAGAAGAGGGGAGGAGGAAAAGAAACAAGGAAGGCUCCGUCCUAGUGAAGAGAAUCCAUCAUAAAGCAGUUGGGAUGGCUGGAUCUAAUAACCAGGACUUAAUCCAAAGGGACUUAAGAAAAUCUGUAGUGAAGGCUGUGUAAUUUAUCGGCUCCUAUUUAUAAAGACUAGUAAUGACGUAGUCACCCCCUACCCCC
rnacentral:lncRNA from 1 species